UACGUAGGGUGCGAGCGUUAAUCGGAAUUACUGGGCGUAAAGCGUGCGCAGGCGGUUUUGUAAGCCAGAUGUGAAAGCCCCGGGCUCAACCUGGGAAUGGCAUUUGGGACUGCAAGGCUUGAGUGCGGCAGGGGAGACUAGAAUUCCUGGUGUAGCAGUGAAAUGCGUAGAUAUCAGGAGGAAUACCGAUGGCGAAGGCAGGUCUCUGGGCUGACACUGACGCUCAUGCACGAAAGCGUGGGGAGCAAACAGG
rnacentral:rRNA from 1 species